CCGCCGCCUCCUCUAUGUUUGUCUUCACAAAUCUCCACUUUGAACUGCUUCUGCUUUGGGUGAUUAACACCCUUCCUUGGUUGAUUAGUUUGAUUUCCUUUCCAUCUUGCUAGACUGGUUUCUUCAGUGUAAGGAUGUAAUUGAUACUUUUUGGUGCUAACAACUUGGGUCUUGUCCACUUAAGAUUGAUAUUGUAUCCAGUUAUAGCAGGGAAGGAGAUUGUGAGAAGCUCGGACCCAUAUAUGAUUGGAUGCUAUCAAUGACAUCAAUCGCAUACACUGAUAAUCUAACCGUGUGAUCCCCCAAUCUACUAAAAAUCUAAUUUUGUUGGCUGGUAUAGAUAGUCUAAGUAGUAAUUCCCUCUUUUUGUGAAGCUUUGAUGGUUAUAAAUUGUAGCAUGUGAACUACUUAUCUUGAAUCUACCCAGUCUUAUUAGCCUUAGUACCUCUUUAUCAAUGACACUCUCAAGU